CAGGAAUAAGAUUUCAUAACAAGUGACCCAAAGCUGUCUACGGGUCUCCAUUGCACCCAAAAGAAAAAAAAACAAUCAAAGCUCUGAGGGUAAUAUGCAAAGGGAGAUGUUCUUUCCACAAGACCCCUCCACGUUUUAUCAUCCUUCUAUGACACGCCAGGAUGCAUCGAGGCUUGCACCAAAGAUCUUACCAUUUCCGAAGAAUGUGGGACCCACUUAAUAUUAGCAACAGAAAUAGCUUGUGAAAACCAUGCAUAUUUUGCAAGGAUGGCAUAAAUUAGCAAACCAUCUGGCUGGUAUUGUGUUGUAAAUUGAGAUGCCCUUUACAUCACAUCAAACAAAGUGCAAAACAUAUAUUUCCUGUAGAAAGAAUAAAGAAGAAAGGCAAGAGAAGCUUACAAUAGAAUCUGAUAGCAUUGUCAUACCUUCAUCCACACCACAAACUAACCGUUUCCAUGAAGAAGGAACCUAAAUAUUCUCUUCUAAGAACGUCUUUUAAAUUCUUGAGACCACCAAAUACUAGGAAGAUCAAGAUAUACAAAAAAGGGAAAAAACUUGCAUAUCUAUCACUGUCUCUAUCUAAUUGGUCAUGGUUGUAUUGCAGCUCUCUCUUCCCACUUGUUUGAGUAUCAGAUCAAAGCUCCCUCGUUAUCGUGAGAAACCUCCAUUGAAGCUUACUUCUAUUUGUCCUUCAAGCUCAUUCACAACCAAUUCACAGCAACCUGGAAAUCCAAUUUAUCAGUUUCCUCCAGCAAAUCAGGUCUUCAUUUAUAUAUGCAUUACUUUUAAAGUUGAUAUUACAUCUUUCACUUAAGAAAAAAUUAGAACUUCUAGAUAUAUUUAUCUGUAUUGAAGAAUAUAGUUAUGUCACUAGAGUGUUGCAGCAAUAGUAUUUGGAGAUGGACAAGAGUCGAGGCUUUACCCAUUGACAAAGAGAAGAUCUGAAGGGGCCAUUCCGAUAGCAGGAAACUACAGACUCAUUGAUGGAGUUGUAAGCAACUGCAUUAACAGUAACAUAACCAAGAUUUAUGUUUUAACGCAAUACAACUCCACGUCUCUCAAUUCCCACCUCUCAAGAGCUUAUUCUGGAGCACGUCUUGCCAACGAGGGAUUUGUCGAAGUGAUUGCAGCAUAUCAGAGUCCUGAAAACAGUGGGUGGUUUCAGGUUAGUGUUUCCUUUAUGCAUAGAUAUACAUGGAGACUGCAUCUUAAUGUAAUCGUAUACUCCUCUCUUCCAAAAUUAAAGAUACAUCUCUAAAACGACGACUUUUAGGAAAACUUUGCUUUUCCAAACAUAUCCCUACAUUUGCUAGAAUUGUAGUAGUGGAGGCAUGGUAGUACUCAAUCUAUCUAGUGUAUAAGUAAUGACAUGUUAGGAACUUCAUGUAACUUUAUAGUUAUGUAUCCCUAAUUUGAAAAACAAAUUCUUUAAUUUUGGAACAAAGGGACUAUAUUUUUUACAUAUCAACAUAUCAUAACUACUCCAACUAUAUUCUUCUAUGUUUAGGGAACUGCCGAUGCUGUAAGAAGAUGUUUGUGGGUACUAGAAGAAUAUCCAGUAGUUGAGUUUCUGGUCCUUCCUGGUCACCAUCUAUACAAGAUGGACUAUCAGAAACUUAUAGAGGCCCACCGAAGCAACAAUGCUGAUGUGACUGUAGCGGUCUUGAGUAGCAUGAGAAAUCAUGAUUCGGCUUAUGGUAGUUUUAUAGUAGAUACAGAUAAUCAAGUUAUCAAGUUUAAAGAGAAAGCAAGACAGGCACCGGUGAAGUCCAUGUCAGUAAGUUUUUUACUUACUUUUGCUUAGAGAUUCUCUUCUUUUAUAUAUUAAUUGUAGUCUUCUCUUAAUUUGGGUAUGGACAAGAACAUGAGAAACAAUAUCUUAAGAAGCUCCUAUUGUAAUUUCAGGAACAAAGCUCAGUAAUGUUCAAUGAUACUUCUCACAAUGAUUUCCCAAGCAUGGGGAUCUACGUCAUAAACAGAGAUGUAAUGGUAAAGCUACUAAGAGAAUACUUACCCAAGUCAAAUGACUUGAGAAGUGAAGUAGUACCAGCUGCAAUAUCCUUAGGAAUGAAGGUGAUCAGGUUCUUUAAUCUUUUAUAUUACGUGGAUAGGUCUCACCAUGUAUUCGUUUUGCAAUUUUCAUUUCUUUUUUCUUAACUCUAGAGGAAAUAUUUCAUGCAAUGAACCAGGUUCAGGCAUAUCAAUUUGAUGGGUACUGGGAGGACAUGAGAAACAUUGAAGCAUUUUACCAUGCAAAUAUGGAAGGCACAAAGAAAACAAAUAUGGCAUAUAAGUCGGUAGCUUAAAAUAUUAGGAAAAGUAAAAGGAUAUAGCCAGUGCAUUGCUUUAGUGAAUAUCUCACCUAUAUUCGGUCUCACAUCCAACUAAUAGAAAUUUCAUCUUUUGUUAGCAGCUUCUAUGAUAGAGAUUCUCCUGUUUACACUCUACCUCGGUAUCUGCCUCCAACUCUAAUAACUGAUGCUACAAUUACAGAUAGUGUUAUUGGCGAUGGUUGCAUCCUCAGUGUAAGGACUAGCUUUAAUCAGCCUCAAAACUAAGGAAAUACAUAUGAGUAAAUCUACACACACGUCCAAUUUACACUCUCCUUGCCGAUACGCAGGUAACUUGGUCGUUUUGGGUAAAAAAAUUUACUCCUUUCUGUCCCACAUCUCACCACACCUCCCCAGUUAACUGUCCUCUGUCCCAAUUUCUCUCUCUUCUUCAACAAAUCCAAUCACGGGUUUUCAAGCUGAUGAAGAAAUUGGAAACCCAAAAAUUGAUCAAAAAUCAUUUUAUUUUCGCUAUAAUUCCCCAUUAAUCCAAGUAGGUCUGAUUGGAUUGAAAGUAUAGAAAUACAAUAUAAAUAUUAUGCACAUAUAAGUGCAUGUAAUUGAAGCAACAUGAGCAAAUUAGAACUUUACCAUUGCGAAGUGUUAAAGGAAAAUCAGUCCAUAACUCCGGCCGCUUUGAAAUCUUGAGAACAAAUUCCACAACUUCCUCCGUUAUACCCACUGCAUCUUCGUCCUCCUCUUCUUCUUCGCCUCCAAAUUAGAGGAAAGCAAGGAGAGACUCGUUUUGAAGCUACCGCCGAUCUCAACUAAAUCUUUUUUAAUUCCGAGAAAUGUCUCCGAAGAAGUGUCCUCGGCCGGGGUGGGGACGGAGGAGGGAGGCGAUGGAGAGAGGAAGUCGGCGACGCAACGGAGUUGGAGGCCGAUAGUUUGGCCUAGGACGGAGAGGUCUUCUUUGACGGUGGGAGGUGUAGUAGGGUUUUGAUCUUGGUGAUCUUCUUCUGAUGAGGAUUUGAAGGGAUUUCUUCAUCAGCUUAAAAACCAUGAUUGGAUUUGCUUGAAGAAGAGAGAGAAAUUGGGACAGAGGACAGUUAACUGAAGAGGAAGAGGAGUGGUGAGAUGUGGGACAGAGGAGUAAAAAAAAUACCCAAAAUGACUAAGCUCCCUGUGUGUAUCGGCAAGGAGAGUGUAAAUUGGAUGUGUACUCAAUACAAUAUAUACAUAAUAACAAGGAGCAUAAAUACAUAAUAACAUUUAUAUAUCAUGAACACUUUGCCAUAUUUGUGAAGCUUAUUUUUUUACUUUCUUUCAAUUCUCUUUGUUGGUAUUUACUUUCUUUCAUACAGAAAUGCAGCAUCAAAGGUUCAGUACUUGGUCUGAGGACAAGGGUUGGAGAUGGGGCCGUAAUCAAGGAUACAGUAAUCAUGGGUUCUGAUAUCUAUCAAGUAAGACUGUAAGAGGCAUCACAAAUAUUUCACCUUUCCUUUAUUAAUCCAUUAAUUUCUUGAAGGCUAUUUGGGACCUAAGUGAAAAUGGAUCAAUUCCAAGAUGGAAUUUAAACGAGUAAGCUAAUACUUAUUACUUUUUAAAAAAUUUGUUAUCAAACUAAUAAAGAUUAUCAUAGUGAGAUAACUCCCAUUUUGUUUAGGGAAUUUCUAUGUCCUCAAGAAAACAUGCUACUUCGACAAGGUCCCCCUCACAUUAAUAGUAUGUCCCACACUCGUGAACCGGGCCUUGUGGAACUAGCGAAAUAAUUUGUGAAAAUAGUCAUCCCCUUUGUUUAUCAUAAUGUGAAAGCACUGUCGAAGUAAAAUUUUAAGUAUUUCAAAUUUACACUAAUACCAAACACCUGAUUAAUAAUUUCAUUUCUCAUGCAAAUGUAUAACAAACAAAAUAUGUGCAGAAUGGUAAUGAAGACAAGGGCUUGGCCAUCCCUAUUGGCAUUGGGGAAGGUUCACACAUACAGAAAGCUAUAGUAGAUAAGAAUGCAAGGAUCGGAAAAAAUGUUAUGGUACAAAUCUAGUAAUACUGCGAUAUCCAAUGCAUGUUAUGAUUUAUUUCACUUUGGCAAUUUUAUAGACUAUCAGUAUUUUUAUUUAUUUUUAAUAAGUUUUGAAGGUUAACAAGUUUCGGUACGAAAUGCAAAUCCAACAAUAUUCAAUACUAGGCAUUAAACAUAAUUUUCUCAAACUAUAUUAUAUCCUAAGUCUUUUAUGAUAUCGUUACCAUAAUGAAAUUGUAAUAAGCAGCCUACAAACUUUUUGCCCUAGUUUCUCCUCUGCUAUAAAUAGACGUACAAAACAUAGAUAUAUAUACUUACAUAAAAUGCCUACAUUGCACAUCUAUUUUGUGUGUUGUACAAUGUACAGAGAUAUGUGCAUUACUAUAUACUCUCAGAGUUGCAAUAUUCAUAUUAUGUUGAGAAUUCUCUUUAUCAUUUACCAUCGGAUAAAUGUAUUUUGAUGUCAUGUAGAUUGUAAAUAAAGACAACGUCCAAGAAGGGAACAAUGAAGCUUAUGGCUACAUAAUCACAAUGGGGAUAGUUGUAAUACUAAAGGGAGCUGUCAUCCCAGACGAAAGUGUCCUAUGAGAAUCAUUUCAGAAGCAAAUAGAUUAUUCUUUGAUUAUUAAUUCAGUACAGAAGAAUAUACAGCUUCAGGGGCUCAAAUGUAUACCCGAAUCUCCCCUGAUUUUCCUUUCUUUGUAUUCCUUUAUUCGUCCCUUUUCUUUCUAUUGUCAUUUUCUUCUCCACCUCAGCCGAAUAACUCAUCUUGACUAUGAUAUGUCAUGUCAAUGUCAUACAAAAUAAUUUAGUUCAUGUGAAUUUCAAAUCUCUUCCUUUUUGUUUUUUCCAGUACAAUUUUUUUUUAUCAUGAAUUUAAAGUACUCACACUAUGAGAAAUGAGAAUAAGUUCUUCAACAGCAUAUAUCACCAACUCAUAAAAUCCUCUAAACUGUCUGUACUCAAGAACUUGCAGUUAAUCAUAUAAGUAGAGUAGUGAACAACAAACUAUUUUUGCUUUCACAAUGCUAACUGAAGCUACACUGUGCACUGAACCGGAAAACCCAGCAAGAUUCACGCAUAUUAAACAUCUGCUUCAUUAUAACUGCUUCUUUCCACCAAAACCCUUUACUUGAAUCUACAUAUAUGCUUUGUUUGGAGCUCCGGAAAAUUCAAGGGAAAAGAAUGGAAAAGAAAAUUAAUAAAAAAAAAAGGUAAUAAAUAAAUAAAUAAAUCAACACUGAAUUUUCAAUAUCACAUUCAGUUGAUUUCUAUUCAUUCAUUACCAAAGUUUUUCUAUUUUCAAUACCACAUUUAGUUGGCACCCAAAUGAACAACAUUCACAAUAUAAAGUUACAUCAUGAGAAAUAUGAGAAUCUGAGCUUAUUGAUAGCAUAAGAGAAAGAUUAAAGAAACAAUUCAAAAUCUGUCUAUUAACCUUCAAUCAAAGAACAUGAAGGACUUACAAUUUAAAGUCUUCAAUAGAGUUCUACUGCUACAUAGAGCCUGCAGUACAUGAAGAAUCACAAACCAAAACCAGCCCUUUUCUUGCAAAAGACUCCGACUUUUGGGUUUUGGCUGCUAAAUAUAGUCCCACUCAUAUGACCCGACCCGAUCCAUAAUUUCUCUUGGGU
rnacentral:lncRNA from 1 species